UACGUAGGGUGCAAGCGUUGUCCGGAAUUAUUGGGCGUAAAGAGCUCGUAGGCGGUCUGUCGCGUCUGCUGUGAAAACUCAGGGCUUAACCCUGAGCUUGCAGUGGGUACGGGCAGACUAGAGUGCGGUAGGGGGAGACUGGAAUUCCUGGUGUAGCGGUGAAAUGCGCAGAUAUCAGGAGGAACACCGGUGGCGAAGGCGGGACUCUGGGCCGAUACUGACGCUGAGGAGCGAAAGCGUGGGGAGCGAACAGG
rnacentral:rRNA from 1 species